AGAGUUUGAUUAUGGCUCAGGAUGAACGCUGGCGGCGUGCCUAACACAUGCAAGUCGAACGAGUGAGAGAUGAAACUUAGUGAUUCUCGAGCGAGUGGCGGACGGGUGAGUAACGCGUGGGUAACCUGCCUUACAGAGGGGGAUAACAGUUUGAAAAGACUGCUAAUACCGCAUAAGCACACAGUACCGCAUGGUACAGGGUGAAAAGAUUUAUCACUGUAAGAUGGACCCGCGUCUGAUUAGCCAGUUGGCAGGGUAACGGCCUACCAAAGCGACGAUCAGUAGCCGACCUGAGAGGGUGAUCGGCCACAUUGGGACUGAGACACGGCCCAAACUCCUACGGGAGGCAGCAGUGGGGGAUAUUGCACAAUGGAGGAAACUCUGAUGCAAGCGACGCCGCGUGAGUGAAGAAGUAUUUCGGUAUGUAAAGCUCUAUCAGCGGGGAAGAUAAUGACAGUACCUGACCAAGAAGCCCCGGCUAACUACGUGCCAGCCGCCGC
rnacentral:rRNA from 1 species